rnacentral:rRNA from 1 species
UACAGAGGUCCCAAGCGUUGUUCGGAUUCAUUGGGCGUAAAGGGUGCGUAGGCGGUGGGGUAAGUUGGAUGUGAAAUCUUGGGGCUUAACCUCAAAAUUGCAUUCAAUACUGCUCCGCUCGAGUUCUGUAGAGGAGAUUGGAAUUUACGGUGUAGCAGUGAAAUGCGUAGAUAUCGUAAGGAACGCCAGUGGCGAAAGCGAAUCUCUGGGCAGCAACUGACGCUGAGGCACGAAGGCCAGGGGAGCAAAC